rnacentral:rRNA from 1 species
AUGCAAGUCGAGGGGUAUAGGUUUUCGGACCUANAGACCGGCGCACGGGUGCGUAACGCGUAUGCAAUCUACCUUUCACAGAGGGAUAGCCCAGAGAAAUUUGGAUUAAUACCUCAUAGUAUUAUAGAGUGGCAUCACUUUAUAAUUAAAGUCACAACGGUGAAAGAUGAGCAUGCGUCCCAUUAGCUAGUUGGUAAGGUAACGGCUUACCAAGGCAACGAUGGGUAGGGGUCCUGAGAGGGAGAUCCCCCACACUGGUACUGAGACACGGACCANACUCCUACGGGAGGCAGCAGUGAGGAAUAUUGGACAAUGGGCGCAAGCCUGAUCCAGCCAUGCCGCGUGCAGGAUGACGGUCCUAUGGAUUGUAAACUGCUUUUGCACAGGAAGAAACAACGCUACGUGUANCGUCUUGACGGNNCUGUGAGAAUAAGGAUCGGCUAACUCCGUGCC